GUGGUGGGGCUGGUGGUGGUGACGGUCAACCUCCACAAUCAGACCAGCCUCCUGAAGACACCAGUCCAAGUUCACAUUCACCCGUUCUACCUGGGCACUCUAUGUAUGGUAGCUCUUGGGACGACGACGACGAUGAGGCAGACUUGGCCGGUCCAGGUUUCGGAUUGAGAAGACAGACUGAGAAUACCGACUUGCUCGAGGAUUUGGUCGACUUGAUUUCAAAUCGCUUGCCUAUUGUGAUAGAAGAAUCGGUUGCCAAGCAUAUCCGGGACAUGAUUGCCGAAGUGGAGCAACACAACACCAGAGUAGCCCGCCAGACACAGCAGAUCGUCCGUCAGCAAGUUGUCGAUGAGAUCAUGAGCCAGUUCAGGACAGCCACGGGUACUGUAGUGGACCAAGUUGCUGACAUCAUAGAUAGCAAUGCACCAAUUUAGAAGUAAUUCGACUGAGUAGACCUUACAAACGUUACUGAGGCUGUGAGUCAUGCAGCAGAUCAUGUGGAGCAACUGAGGGAGGUGCUAGUAUGAUCACUACAUGUAGUAUUGCUGGGUGCCUACAACCAUCCACAAUUAGAGCGGAUAGCAUGCCAGAAAGGAUAGCAUGCCAGAAUGGAUAGCAUGCCAGAAUGGAUAGCAUGCCAGAAUGGAUAGCAUGCCAGGGUGUCGAUCCUCUGCAGCACAGCACAGUUUGACCUGUUUGCUUUUUAAUCACAGUUUGCAGCUGCCGGGCUUACAUGCUCCAUAGCCACAACCAAUGCUGCCUGGUUUGAUAUGAAAUGCCUACCCCAGAGUUACAAUAUGCUACACCCGCUCUACCACGUUUGCAUUGGAUCCGAACAGCAUUGUAUAACUUCAUUUGCCAGCAUUACCUCCGAGCUGCGUGGAGUGUUUUAAGCGUCUCGUAGCCAUCUGACACAUGCACACGCUGGACAAGAGCUGUCAGCAAAAGUCCAAAUCAUUUCGUGCGCACUCACCCAGCAAAGUCAAUCCCCACUGGUCCGGUGCUGCUAUAAGAUCAUAGUAAUUGCUUUAGAAUGCUCAGUCUGCUUGAAGUAUUUACCACAGAUUAUUACCAUGAGGUAAAAUAUGAUUUGUCAAGCAUAGUAUGCUUGUCACAUGAUGCCUGUAAUGACAGCCAGCUUGGAUAUAACAUUGCAAAGUAGCAGUACAUAUUUUAUCAAGAGUGAACUGAAAUUCACCUAACAUUCAAAUACACCCUUUUUUCGUUUGA